GUUCCUUCUCCUGCUGGAGUGCUGUGAAAUUAGGUCCAGGGGCACAUCAAUCUCUUUCACAGCACAGUUACGUGCUAAGAACAGGCAACUUCUGUUCGGGAACCUGCCAGCAGUGGGGCAAAACGACUCGUAUGCAAAGUCUUGGGUGUGGUAGACACAUGCUUCCAGAAGACAUAGACUCAGGCCUAAUUCCAGCAGCCGUGCAUCUCCAUCUCUUCGUCUUUGCUCUGCUUUGGCACAAACACUGGAGUUACUAGGAGAAAUACAAUAAUAAGACGAUCGAGUGGCCUCCGCGUGUCCCAUUGCCAGGAAGAGAAGAAAGCCGGGGACAUCUGUGAUGAGAUUUCUGAUCACUUCCUCCUCCUCCUUGGAGCUGGAGGGUUCUGGAGCUUCCCACGGCUGGGGCCCUGCGGAAUUUCUCAGUUCUCCCCGCACAGUCCGGAACAGCAGCAGCAGCAGCACCGGGAACUUGUGAGAAAUGCACAUGCUCAGGCCCCGCCCAGGACCCACUGACUCAGAACUCUGGGGGCUCAGAGGUUCAAUAACUUGCCCGAGAUCACUCGACUAGAAAAGAGCUGAGCCCGCCUUGAAACCCAAGUCUAUCUGACUUCAAAGGCCCUGCUGUAACCGCCAUACUGCACCUUUCCCCAGAGGCCUUCGGACUGUCUUCAAGAGUCAGGAGACAAAAUGAGAAGACAGAAUUCUGCCAACAGCCACAUGAGCUUAGAAGAGGAUCCCAAGCCCCAGAAAGGAACAUGCUCUGGCUGACACCUUGAUUGCAGCCUUACGAGAUUCAGCAGAGGGCCCAGCUAAAAGCUGUGCUCCAACUCCUGGCCCAUGGAAAUGGCACAAAUGUACAUGGCGGCAAGCCACUAAGUGUGUGGUAAUUCGUUAUGCAGCAUGGGAAACUGGUUUUGGUGGCCAAGCAAUAUAUCCCGUCCCACGCUCUCCCCUCCACUUGUGAUUUUGACAUUCCUCCCAUCGAGAGGCAGAGUCUAAUUCCCUGCCCUUGAUUCCAGAUGGACUCGUGACUCUGUUGAUGAUAGAGGCCAUGGAAGUGAAACUGACUUUCAAGGCCGGGUGGUAAAAAGCAAUGCAGCUUCCACCUUGCUGCUGGAUCACGUGCUCUCAGAGCCCUGAGCUGCCCCAUAAGAAGUCUGACUAUGCUGGGGCUGCCUUGCUGUGAGGCUGCGUGCAGGCCCUCUGGUUGGCUGGCCAGCCCAGGCUCCAGACAUGUGAGAGAACAAACCUGCAGCGGAUCCUAGCCUCCAGUCCUGGAGUCUCUCCCAGCCUUCUAGUCUUCCCAGCGGAGGUUCUGGACAGCAUGGAGCAGAGACAAGCCAUCCGCUCUGGGCCCUAACCAAAGUUCUGAUCCACAGAAUCCGCGAACAUGAUAAAAUCGUUGUUUUACAUAACCAAGUUUUGGGGCAGUUUGUUACACAACAAUAGCAAUGAGAAAACACGGCCAAACCCCAAAACCAUAGGGUGGGGAAAUCAACUCUGCUUAUUCUAAUGUGAAGUACUAAAAAUUAACAUGGCAAAGGGCAUAAAUGUAUAAUUUUAAUAUAGCAAGGGCUUGCAGGAUUGGGAGCAAUACCACAUAGAGCCACCAUACCACCACCAUAGAGCCUUAUAUCCAUUUAUGUUAAGGCUUCAACUGAGGCCCAGAGAAGGCUCCUGCUUUGUCCAUGAUCACACAGCGUCAGCAUCAAGGCUUCAGAAUCAGCCCUGGUGGGUAUCCAGGACUGUCCAUAGCUGUACACUUGCCACACCCUGAUCUGGAACUGGUUGAACGAACUUGACCUGAGAAUGACCUUCCCAGUAAAAGAGGAGCCCAGUGAAUGUAGAUCCUGGACAAUCUCCUUAGCUUUUAAAAGCCCCGGGCUGGUACUGUUGUAAAUGGUUGUGCAGUAUCGAUAUUUAUUGGACUUUGCAUCCUAUGAGUACGUUUCGUGGCUGCACACCCAUGAUGGGUCACCUUUUUUUUUUAAAGAUUAUAGAUGUAACAUGCAAAAAUCAUAUUUGUUACAUUUAUACAUAUUUAUAUCAUACAUUUGCAGCAUAUAGAGGCACUCAGAGUAUAUAUUAUUUAUAAGCAUCGCUGCGGUUCAGGUUUGUUAGAAAGGCUCAGAAUGAGAGUGUGUUUGUAAAGUGCUCCAGGGUCCUCUGGGAUGAGGGCAGCUAUGUGAGUGUAAGUCAUUAUCAUUAAACUAAACUGCCUUCCUCCGAUUACUGACAGCACCGAAGAGGUUCUCCCGCCUCCUCGGCCCCUGCGCACGGCCUGGUAAUGCCGGGAUAAUAUAAAGAUAAUAUUACUGUAAUAAGUGCUUUGCAGCAUUUAUGCCUUUAUUAGCAGCAGCCAUAUUGUAAGGCAGGCAGAGGCCCCCAGGAGCGCCAAGGGGUUAGUGCCGAGGGCGGAACACUCGGAGCGGCGAGCAGAAUUCCGGGUCCGAGCUAAGUGUGGGGGCAAUGUAGCAUGAGGUUAAGUUCUUGCUCCUUAUUCCCUCCUGCUGAGCCUCUUUCCAAUGACAGUUGAUCCCCAAAUAUGCUACUGAGUCCAGCUGGGGCUGGGGCUGGAUGGGGUAUAACUGAUAUAGGGGAGCUUCUGGAAUUCUAGCCCCAGGGGCACCCCGCUGCAUUUUAAGUGGCCUCCAAACCCCGGGGAGGCCCCAAAUUGACUGCAUGGCCCCUCCCUCUGAUUGAGGUGUAAUGAAGAGGUCCACAAAGCCGUGGGCUUCCCAGAAUGAAAUUAAUCUACAGGGUUGAAUGGCUUCAUCGGCCGCCCCCAUGUAACUAUCAUAUAGCGUAAAAAUAGGAAGGAGCUUCUGAAUAGCUCUUAGAUUUUACAAAGGGCCCCUUUCCCCUUCGAGUUGCAUGUGUGUUAUACUUGUUACAGGUAGCAUCUAUCUUCCUGCCAUAUACUUGCAAAGUAGAGAAACGUGUUAUUUAUAGAUCUUGGAUCUCAGGGCGUUGAGAAAUCCAGGAGUUACAUCCACCAUCUCAUGUGACCCUUCUAGCAUCUCUGCGAAACUAGUCUUGUGUAUCAUCCCCAUUUUAUAGAUAUGGAAACUGAGGUCCCGAAGGGUUGAGUGAGUGGACCAAGGUGGUAUGUCAGGAAGAAUCAGAACUGGAAUUCAGGCCUUUUGACCCAGGGUCAGCAGGCUUUUCCUGCCGGCUGUCCUGCCGAGGGAGGAUUUGCACAGCAGAAAGGGACCUACCUUCCACAAUUUUGCUUUGGAGGAGACAAAAAUCAGAAGGGAGGAGGCCAAGGUACUGGUUCUCUAUUGCUGCAUAACAAAGCGCCCCGACACGGCAGUCGUUUUCUCGUUACCUCUCACAGUCCUGGGGUGACUGGGCCCUGUGAGGCACCUCUGACUUGGGGUCUCUCAUGCCACUGCAGGCAGAUGGCUGGAGGUGGGGACAUCUCAAAGGCUUCUUCUCUCGCAUGUCUGGUGCUUGGGUGGGGAACAGCUGAGGGCUGGCACAGCUGGGCUCCUGGCCUCUCCGUGUGGUCUCCCCACACCGUCCUUCCAGCAUGGCAGCCUCAGGACGGCUGAAUUUUUUAGAUGGCCACUCAGGGCUCCCCAGGUGGGUGUCCUGUGAGAGACAGCCAGGUGGAAGGUGUCCUGCCUUUUACGGUCUAGCUUUGGAAAUCACAUAGUGUCACUUUUUGUUACUUUCAUAACUAUUUGUUAGCAGUGAGUUGUGAAAGCCAGCCCAUAUUCAAAAGGAGGGGGAUUAGGGCCUAGCUUUUCACGGGAGGACUGUCAGAGAUUUCAGAGGCAGGUUUUAAAACCACCAGAGCUCUGUUCAGACCACUUCUUCUCGAAGCUUCUUCCAGGACCUCAAGCAGGACUCAGGCAAGGGUUAGCCACCCCUCCCCACAUUCCUUCCCCACUUGCCUCCUUUAACCAGCCAAACUGCCCUUGGCUCCAGCGUGAUCUGAUGAAGUGACUGGGGU